GCGCCCGUAGCUCAGCUGGAUAGAGCAUCGGACUUCGAAUCCGACGGUCGGGAGUUCGAAUCUCUCCGGGCGCACCA
rnacentral:tRNA from 2 species